GGCCCCCUAAUGUCAGUUUCCACUCUCCCCAGAGCACUCCCCCAGUCUCCCACAUGGGCUAUGGGCUCUCUGCACACACUCCAGAAGCUGGGCUGGAGGCUGGGCACAGGGUCCCAAGGCUGAGUGUGGGGACCCUCCCCUGGCCUGCAGGCUACCCAGUCUCACCCACUGAUUAUGACCAAGUGAGGAGUCACCAAGUUUGCUAUGCGACACAGGUGCCUGAAAACCCAACCAGUAGGCACUGGGUCUGCUGGGGAAGGGCGACACAGUGCUAGCCUGCUGGAGACCAUCAGCCCCGACUGGAUUUUUCUGCAGCUUGAGUCCUCUGUGCAAGCAUUCCCACAGGCUACCCUCAAGGAUGUUUCUCCACUAAAGUUUCCAAUGCCUAAGGAAGAGGCUUCUGGUUGGCGUGGCGGGGGUCACAUGUCUCCAGAAAGAUGCAGCUCUGCGUACACAACAGACAAUAGCAAACCACAUAUGAAAGCAGAACUCUUACCCACAAGGUACAACAAUCUUCUCAGAAAAUUCACCUCUUCUCUGCAACAGCCAGCCAGGAGGUCAGCAGUUGUACGUAGAUCUCUUCUGUGGGAAGUCAGACGAUCUCUAGGAACAAUGCAGGAAGCCAGACAGUAAGCCUUGCUUGUACUAGUUGCCCAGAACAUCUAGGGCUUGAUUAAUAAGUGAUAGCUUCCCUGGUGUUUAUUCCCCUUUCCUACUUUGGACCAACCAGAAAAAGACAAAUCUGCCCCGGGAGCAGUGACACAGGACACCCCACUUCUUUUUUUUUCUUUGUAUUUUUUUUUACGGGAGUUCAAUUUGCCAACAUAUAGCAUAUCACCCAGUGCUCAUCCCAUCAAGUGCCCCCCUCAGUGCCUGUCACCCAGUCACCCCAACCCCCCGCCCACCUCCCUUUCCACUACCCCUUGUUGGUUUCCCAGAGUUAGGAGCCUCUCAUGUUGUCUCCCUCUCUAAUAUUUCCCACUGGUUUUCUCUCCUUUCCCCUAA
rnacentral:lncRNA from 12 species